GCUUUGCUACGGUGGAAACGCACCCGACGAGACGCGCCGUACCGGGUUGAAGGCAAAGACGACGCACC
rnacentral:ncRNA from 1 species